GACGAACGCUGGCGGCGUGCCUAAUACAUGCAAGUAGGACGCAGGUGCGAAUGGGUGAGUAACGCGUAGGUAACUGCCUAGUAGAGGGGUAUAACUAGUGGAAACGAUAGCUAAUACCGCAUACUAGUAGGUGGACCUGCGUUGUAUUAGCUAGUAGGUAGGGUAAUGGCCUACCUAGGCGUCGAUACAUAGCCGACCUGGGAGGGUGGUCGGCCACACUGGGACUGGGAAACGGCCCAGACUCCUACGGGAGGCAGCAGUAGGGAAUCUUCGGCAAUGGGGGGAACGCUGACCGAGCAACGCCGCGUGAGUGAAGAAGGUUUUCGGAUCGUAAAGCUCUGUUGUUAAGGAAGCGGUACUUAACCAGAAAGGGACGGCUAACUACGUGCCAGCAGCCGCGGUAAUUC
rnacentral:rRNA from 1 species